CACGUAGUUAGCCGGGGCUUCUUACUCAGGUACCGUCAUUGCUUUCUUCCCUGCUGAUAGAGCUUUACAUACCGAGAUACUUCUUCACUCACGCGGCGUCGCUGGAUCAGGGUUCCCCCCAUUGUCCAAUAUCCCCCACUGCUGCCUCCCGUAGGAGUUUGGGCCGUGUCUCAGUCCCAAUGUGGCCGUCCACCCUCUCAGGCCGGCUACUGAUUGUCGCCUUGGUGGGCCGUUACCUCACCAACUAGCUAAUCAGACGCGGGUCCAUCAUAUACCACCGGAGUUUUUCACACCUGGCCAUGCGGCCAUGUGCGCUUAUGCGGUAUUAGCACCUAUUUCUAAGUGUUACUCCCCUGUACUAUGGCAGGUACCCACGCGUUACUCACCCGUCCGCCACUAAAGAUACACUUGUAGUUUGACCGAAAAUCUACCGUCGCCGUAUACUCCUUCCGUUCCGUACUUGCUAUGUGUUAACGCACCGCCCGCCAGUCGUUCACUACCUGACGCC
rnacentral:rRNA from 1 species